rnacentral:rRNA from 1 species
AGCGCAGGCGGCCAAGUCAGUCUGAAGUGAAAGCCCGGGGCUUAACCCCGGAAUAGCUUUGGAUACUGCCUGGCUUGAGUGUGCGAUAGGAAAGCGGAAUUCCAGGUGUAGCGGUGAAAUGCGUAGAUAUCUGGAGGAACACCGGUGGCGAAAGCGGCUUUCUGGCGCAUAACUGACGCUGAGGCUCGAAAGCGUGGGGAGCGAACGG